GAUGAACGCUGGCGGCGUGCCUAGUACAUGCAAGUCGAGCGAACAGACGAGGAGCUUGCUCCUCUGACGUUAGCGGUGGACGGGUGAGUAACACGUGGAUAACCUACCUAUAAGACUGGGAUAACUUCGGGAAACCGGAGCUAAUACCGGAUAACAUGUUGAACCGCAUGGUUCAACAGUGAAAGACGGUCUUGCUGUCACUUAUAGAUGGAUCCGCGCCGCAUUAGCUAGUUGGUAAGGUAACGGCUUACCAAGGCAACGAUGCGUAGCCGACCUGAGAGGGUGAUCGGCCACACUGGAACUGAGACACGGUCCAGACUCCUACGGGAGGCAGCAGUAGGGAAUCUUCCGCAAUGGGCGAAAGCCUGACGGAGCAACGCCGCGUGAGUGAAGAAGGUCUUCGGAUCGUAAAACUCUGUUAUUAGGGAAGAACAAAUGUGUAAGUAACUAUGCACGUCUUGACGGUACCUAAUCAGAAAGCCACGGCUAACUACGUG
rnacentral:rRNA from 1 species